UUAUUUUUCCAUUGAAAUAACCAAUAUAAUUUCCCAUUUGUGGUGAAUUUUUAAAAAGAGCUUAGUUUGAAAAUUUAGGAAUGUUAAUUUUUAAAAGUUAUAUCAGACUCUACUAAUAAAGAAAUUUUCUUUACUUAAAAAUAAAACCUUUUACCGGUAUUUUAAAAAACACAUUUUCCUGUAGAGAUUUUCUGAAAUCUUGCAAAUGUCUGAAAAUUUUGUUUGUAGUGUCCACAAAGCCUGAAAGGUUAAUGAUUUUAUCAGUUUCUCUUAAUUUAACAGGAUGUCCAAGACUGUUUACCUUUACACCUCCACAAGGCACAGAUAACUGAGUUGCUUCCUCUGCUAAGUUUUCUCCUAGUUCUGAAGGAUAAGAUUAACAUAGGGGCUUUGUACAGUGAUCAGGUAUAGAUGAGGGGUGCUGUUUAACAAAAGAAUUUAAUGUGUGAUUUACGGCUUGAAAUUAAAAUUCUAUGGAUUUUCAAUUAAACUAAAAAAUGUUUUUGGUUAUUCAAAUAAUUUGGAAGUAAAUGGGGUGUAUGUUCAAUUUAGACUUGAAAAUUAUUUCAUGACUACAUUAUUUCAUUCAAAUUAUUUACCUUAUCCCCUCUGAAAUUCACCAAAAGACUUAAUUAAUUUUGAGCCCAAAUUACUGUAGCUGUGGCUGUGUAAUAGCAGGUUGUAUGGACUUCAGACAACUGUAGACAUCAAAAUGCAUCAUUUACAUGAAUCAUGUAUUUCUUUGAGUUGCAUGCCAGCAAUUAAUUUACAUACUAUGACACAAAUUGCUUUAGUAUGUUGUUCUUUUUAACAUCUUUUAAUCAUAUCUUUCUUUCUUUGAGACAUUUAUAUUGUGUAUGUACAGUAUCUAUUUGUUUAUUAUAAUUACUGUGCAGAAACUACUGUUGUUCUUUGGGUAUUAAAUGUACAUGAAUCAAGACAAUGUUUUCAGACAUUUGAGAAAUUGUGUUGCCUAUUUCUUAACCAUGAUUAUUUAACCUAUGGUGAAGAAUACAAUUCUUGUGAUGUGUACAUAUAUUAUAAAGUUAUUAAUAAAGACUGUUAAGC
rnacentral:sRNA from 1 species